rnacentral:tRNA from 1 species
GGAGAGGUGGCUGAGUGGCUGAAAGCGGCACCCUGCUAAGGUGUUAUACCCGCAAGGGUAUCGGGGGUUCGAAUCCCCCUCUCUCCGCAA